rnacentral:rRNA from 1 species
UACAGAGGGUGCGAGCGUUAAUCGGAAUUACUGGGCGUAAAGCGUGCGUAGACGGUUAUUUAAGUCGGGUGUGAAAGCCCCGGGCUCAACCUGGGAAUUGCAUUCGAGACUGAAUAGCUAGGGUACGGUAGAGGGAAGUGGAAUUUCCGGUGUAGCGGUGAAAUGCGUAGAUAUCGGGAGGAACACCAGUGGCGAAGGCGGCGAUCUGGGAAGAUACUGACGCUGAGGUGCGAAAGCGUGGGGAGCAAACAGG